UGGAGAUGCCCUGCCUACCUGCGCUGACUCGUGUCCUGAGAACAACAGUCAUCGCAGGUAGCAGGGCAUCUCUAAGGUGGAUUCAG
rnacentral:sRNA from 1 species